rnacentral:rRNA from 1 species
GACGAACGCUGGCGGCGUGCUUAACACAUGCAAGUCGAACGGAAAGGCCCUGCUUUUGCGGGGCGCUCGAGUGGCGAACGGGUGAGUAACACGUGAGUAACCUGCCCUUGACUUUGGGAUAACUUCAGGAAACUGGGGCUAAUACCGGAUAGGAGCUCCUGCUGCAUGGUGGGGGUUGGAAAGUUUCGGCGGUUGGGGAUGGACUCGCGGCUUAUCAGCUUGUUGGUGGGGUAGUGGCUUACCAAGGCUUUGACGGGUAGCCGGCCUGAGAGGGUGACCGGCCACAUUGGGACUGAGAUACGGCCCAGACUCCUACGGGAGGCAGCAGUGGGGAGUAUUGCACAGUGGGCGGAAGCCUGAUGCAGCAACGCCGCGUGCGGGAUGACGGCCUUCGGGUUGUAAACCGCUUUCGCCUGUGACGAAGCGUGAGUGACGGUAAUGGGUAAAGAAGCACCGGCUAACUACGUG